rnacentral:lncRNA from 1 species
UGAGAAUGAACUUUUCACGCAAUUUAACAUGAGUACUUAAUUUGGAUAAUUUUUUUUGUAAAAAAAAACAUCUUUACUUAUAAGCUCAAAACCGAAAAUUCAAAAUAUCCAAACCGAUUAAUCUGAAACCGAACUAAAUAAUCCAAUCCAAUCCGAGCUUAUAAUUUGGAUGAGAUUUGGAUUGUCAUUUCUUCAAUCCGAAAAUUAAAAAUCCAAACCGAAAUUUUCAUAUUUAAUCCAUAACUAUCGAACGCCCACCCCCUACAUACAGUGAUUCUUGUCAAAUCAGCAUCUCAAAUUCAUUUGAAAACUUCAAAACCAAUGAAGCAACCAAUAGCAGCCCAAGCAAUAUGCUAGUGGGUACCUCAAAAUAGCACAAAGUACAAAGAUAAGAGCAAAACCAAACAAAAGUACGAGGCUAGCAAAAUUAUAGAAAGGUACUUUAAUUUCAUGCUAGAGUUAGAAAAAUCAAUUGUUCUUGCCUUGAAAUAGUAAAUGCAUCCUUCUACAGUACAGAAACGAAAAAUGAUACAAUAUAGCCGCGGUAAAAAUAAUGGUCGAAAAAAUAUAUAAAAAUUAUAUAUUUUUGUAUAUAUAUACAUUCUGAAUGUUAUAUACAAAAAAUAUACAAAUGUUAUACACUUUUUCGACUCCUGGAUAUAAAUAAUUUCUGGCACGGGUUAAAAGUGAUAAUAACUCGUACAGAAAAUCCAAUUAUACCGUACUAAAAUCCUGCGAAUCUACACCAAGAUUGUUUUUCUUCAUAAAUUCCAUCCAUUUACAAGAGCCUCUUACCAACUGAUUCAAAUUGAACCCAUCAUUUUUGACACUAGACAUAGAAUAUCACUAAAAUUUAACAACUACUACUAAAUUCUGAGUUCACUAUUCAAAAGUACAGCGAGUUCAAUACGAUGAAAUUUAAAGAUCAAAUCUAGCAAAUUUAAAUCCUAAAUAUAUAUCUAUUUGCCACCAAGGCUAAUCCUAAUUCUACUAUUAAAACAGACGCUCUCCUUAACACAUUCUAACAAGUUUCAAUAAUUUGUUGAGUCGAGGGUCUAUCAGAAAUAAUCACUUUAAUAUUUAAGGCUAGGGGUAAGGUUUGCAUAUACAUUACCCUCUUCGGACCUCACUUGUGGGAUUAUACUGGAUUGUUGUUGUUGCUGUUGAGAAUCAAAUCUAGUAAUGAAUAUGAUGAACCUGAUUCAUGAUAUAUAUAUGUCUUGCUCUAUCAAACUCCACAAUAUCGCGAUAAAAAGGCGUAAAUUAAUUUGACAUUGGAGUUUUAGGGAUAAGGUGAUGGAGCACUUUGGUCUGGUGAAGACCUCUGAGACUUGGAGGUAUAAGAAUAAUUUGAACGUUUCCUACAGAGUAAGAAAAUCACAGUGACAAGAAAAAGGAUGAAAAGAAUGACAAGUACCAGCAACAUAAUUUCUCCACUGAGAGCAAAACUAUGAUUCUUAGCAGAUAGCAUCGCGUCAUCUUUUUGCGAAAAAUCAUCAGGAGUCAUGUACGAGGGUGUAUUCAAAGGAUACAUCAGGAAAAAUAGUGCUAAGUGCUAACAAACUUUAUGGUAUAUUUAUUCCUCUUUUUCAUUAGGAUGUAGAAUAUCAGUGGAGCUGUAAGAAGGUGAGAUUUUAAGAUAGUUUCUUGGCAUGUACUUCUUG